CUACGGGUCGCUCCAGUGGGGAAUCUUGGACAAUGGGCGCAAGCCUGAUCCAGCCAUGCCGCGUGAGUGAAGAAGGCCUUAGGGUCGUAAAGCUCUUUCGCCAGAGAUGAUAAUGACAGUAUCUGGUAAAGAAACCCCGGCUAACUCCGUGCCAGCAGCCGCGGUAAUACGGAGGGGGUUAGCGUUGUUCGGAAUUACUGGGCGUAAAGCGCGCGUAGGCGGAUUAGUCAGUCAGAGGUGAAAUCCCAGGGCUCAACCCUGGAACUGCCUUUGAUACUGCUAGUCUUGAGUUCAAGAGAGGUGAGUGGAAUUCCGAGUGUAGAGGUGAAAUUCGUAGAUAUUCGGAGGAACACCAGUGGCGAAGGCGGCUCACUGGCUCGAUACUGACGCUGAGGUGCGAAAGUGUGGGGAGCAAACAGGAUUAGAUACCCCGGUAGUC
rnacentral:rRNA from 1 species